AGUGAACGCUGGCGGCGUGCUUAACACAUGCAAGUCGAACGAGAACGGAAUAUAGCUUGCUAUAUUUGUCAGCUAAGUGGCGCACGGGUGAGUAAUGUAUAGAUAACCUGCCCUUAAGAAAGGAAUAACAGUUGGAAACGACUGCUAAUGCCCUAUAUGCCUUUAAUACAUAAGUAUGCAAGGGAAACGCUUUAGUGCUUAAGGAUGGGUCUGUAUGGUAUCAGCUUGUUGGUGAGGUAAUGGCUCACCAAGGCUAUGACGCCUAACUGGUUUGAGAGGAUGCUCAGUCACAGUGGAACUGAGACACGGUCCAGACUCCUACGGGAGGCAGCAGUGGGGAAUAUUGCACAAUGGACGAAAGUCUGAUGCAGCAACGCCGCGUGGAGGAUGACACAUUUCGGUGCGUAAACUCCUUUUAUAUAGGAAGAUAAUGACGGUACUAUAUGAAUAAGCACCGGCUAACUCCGUGCCAGCCGCCGCGGUAACAC
rnacentral:rRNA from 1 species